ensembl:snoRNA U3 Small nucleolar RNA U3
AAGGCUCUACUUUUAGGGGGUUAUUUCUUUAGUUUGUUACUAGAGCAGUUUCUCUGUUGGUGUAGAGCACCUUAAAGCACGAGGACUCAUGGCCUUCUCUUCUAAGCUGCUUCUCCUUCUCUGGAGGAGUGGGAGGGAGGGUACCUGAGUGCU